UACGGAGGGUGCAAGCGUUAAUCGGAAUUACUGGGCGUAAAGCGUGCGUAGGUGAUUAUUUAAGUCAGAUGUGAAAGCCCUGGGCUUAACCUGGGAACUGCAUUUGAGACUGGCUAGCUAGAGUUGAGUAGAGGUAAGUGGAAUUUCAGGUGUAGCGGUGAAAUGCGUAGAGAUCUGAAGGAACACCAGUGGCGAAGGCGACUUACUGGACUCAAACUGACGCUGAGGUACGAAAGCGUGGGUAGCAAACAGG
rnacentral:rRNA from 1 species